AUUGAACGCUGGCGGCAGGCUUAACACAUGCAAGUCGAGCGGGGUGAUGGUGCUUGCACUAUCACUUAGCGGCGGACGGGUGAGUAAUGCUUAGGAAUCUGCCUAUUAGUGGGGGACAACAUCUCGAAAGGGAUGCUAAUACCGCAUACGUCCUACGGGAGAAAGCAGGGGAUCACUUGUGACCUUGCGCUAAUAGAUGAGCCUAAGUCGGAUUAGCUAGUUGGUGGGGUAAAGGCCUACCAAGGCGACGAUCUGUAGCGGGUCUGAGAGGAUGAUCCGCCACACUGGGACUGAGACACGGCCCAGACUCCUACGGUAGGCAGCAGUGGGGAAUAUUGAACAAUGGGGGGAACCCUGAUCCAGCCAUGCCGCGUGUGUGAAGAAGGCCUUAUGGUUGUAAAGCACUUUAAGCGAGGAGGAGGCUCUUUUGGUUAAUACCCAAGAUGAGUGGACGUUACUCGCAGAAUAAGCACCGGCUAACUCUGUGCCAGCAGCCGCAGUAA
rnacentral:rRNA from 1 species